CAUCAUUUGAUUCAGAAUCAGAAAUGGAAGAGUCAAGAAGACUUUGUUAUGUUGGAAUAACAAGAGCUAAAGAAAGUUUAUAUAUGACUUCAGCUGAAG
rnacentral:sRNA from 1 species